rnacentral:snRNA from 1 species
AUCUCUCAUCCUUUUGGUUAUGAUCAAGUGUAGUAUUUGUUCUUAUCAGUUUGAUACUCCGUAUCUGGUAUGUGGGUCACUGACUCACAUAGUCACAAGUGUCGCCCAUUCUUU